AUGGACGCAAUGGAGGUCGAGGAGGGUCCUCUUCUGGCCAUUGAUGCCAAGUUACACGCUGGAAUGUGCAGAGCAUUUCAUCCUGCGGUUUCUAAACUUUUAGCGAUUUUCCCGUUCAUCGAAGCAUCAAGGCCCAGAAGCAAGUCUGGCAUACAGGCACUGUGUUCACUACAUGUAGCUCUGGAUAAAUCCAAAGGUCUUCUUCAACAUUGUGCAGAUUGUAGCCGGCUGUACUUGGCCAUCACCGCAGAAACUGUGCAUUUGAAGUUUGAGAAAUCAAGAAGCCAACUUCAGGAAAGUCUUCGGCGUGUUGAAAGCAUAGUAACCGAAGAUAUUGGCCAUAAGAUUGUGGAGAUCAUUGGUGAGCUGGAGGAGGUUGUAUUUACAUUGGAUCAAUCAGAGAAGGAAGCUGGUGAUGAGGUGAUCAAUUUGCUCCAGAGAAACAAUAAAAUGAACAGUUCCAGCGACAGUGGGGAGCUUGAGGUCUUUCAUAUGGCUGCUCUGAAGCUGGGAAUUACUUCUUCCAGGGCAGCAUUGACUGAGAGAAGAGCCCUCAAGAAGCUAAUUGAAAAGGCUCGUUCUGGAGAUGAUAAGCGGAAGGAGUUUGUUGUGUCCUACCUAUACAAUCUCAUGAGGAAAUACUCGAAAUUUUUCAGAAGUGAAGCAGGCGAUGAUACCGAUUCACAAGGAUCAGCCCCAUGUUCACCUACAGUAUUAGGCAUGGAUGACAUGUAUGGCCCCUGCGGAAAUAGCCGAGCAUUCAGUAGACAGCUUUCGAGUAUUCAAUCAUUUAAUUCGAGGUUUGGGUCUUUCAAUUCGAGGCUUGGAUCAUUCAAUUGUAGGCCUAGUGGUCCAAGGUCCGAAAACAUGUCGAUCCCUCCUGAGGAACUCAGAUGUCCCAUUUCCUUGCAGCUGAUGUAUGACCCGGUUAUUGUUUCGUCUGGUCAGACUUAUGAGCGUGUUUGCAUUGAAAAAUGGUUUAAUGAUGGUCACAGCACAUGUCCCAAGACUCAGCAACAACUGGCCCACUUGUCUUUGACUCCAAACUACUGUGUUAAGGCCAUGAUUUCCAGCUGGUGUGAGCAGAAUGAGUUUCCAGUUCCAGAUGGUCCACCGGGAUCCUUUGAUGUAAAUUGGAGGCUUGCUUUAUCGGACUCCCAGGCAACAGGCUGUGUGUCUGUUGAUAGUUUUGACACCAGCAACAUCAAGGGUGUCAAGGUGGUUCCCCUGGAGAACGAGACAAGAGAAGAACCGGCAAACAGCGAAUCAGGCACAUUGGAUGAUAGUUCUUGUUUUGAGUUUGAUAUGAAUGAGGGGUAUCGGAACUUGCUGCUGGUGCUUAAUGAAAGAAGCAACAUACUGAGCCAGUGCAGAUUGGUUGAGCAGAUAAGAUAUCUGCUGAAAGAUGAUGAGGAAGCAAGGAUCCAGAUGGGCUCAAAUGGGUUUGCUGAGGCUCUAGUUCAGUUCUUAAGGUAUUCCGUGGAAGAAGGAAAUGAGAAGGCACAAGAAGUUGGUGCCAUGGCUCUUUUCAACCUUGCAGUCAAUAAUAAUAGAAACAAGGGACUUCUGUUGUCUGCUGGAAUAGUCGAACUACUUGAGCAGAUGACCUCGAAUCCACGCCUAGCUGCUGCAGCCACGGCGCUCUACCUUAACCUUUCCUGCCUCACCGACGCGAAGAGCGUGAUUGCUUCCACGCAGGCUGUGCCAUUCCUAGUGGACCGUCUGUACAACCACGAUGCCUGCGACCCGAAAGCCAGCUCCUGCAAGCAUGAUGCCCUCUACACGCUGUACAACCUCUCCACCCACCAGGCCAGCAUCCCGUCGCUCCUGUCGGCCGGCAUCGUGGAUGCGCUCCACACGCUCCUGACGGACUCCUCGGUGUCCGAGGGCAUCGGGUGGACGGAGAAGGCCCUGGCGGUGUCCAUCAGCCUGGCGGCGACCCAGGCCGGCAGGAAGGAGAUCAUGUCCACCCCGGGGCUGGUGAGCACGCUGGCGAUGCUGCUGGACACGGGGGAGCCGACGGAGCAGGAGCAGGCGGUGUCGUGCCUCCUGGCGAUGUGCGCGGCGGACGACAAGUGCAUUGCGCCGGUGCUGCAGGAGGGCGUGGUGCCGUCGCUGGUCUCCAUCUCGGCGACCGGCACGGGGCGGGGGCGGGAGAAGGCCCAGAAGCUGCUGAAGCUGUUCCGGGAGCAGCGGCAGCGUGACGGUGGGCAACCGCCCGCGUCUCAGCAGCAGCAGCAGCAGGCCCCGUCGUCGGAGGCCGGGAACGGGAACGGGAACGGGAACGGGAACGGCGGUGGGGUGAUGGUGUGCCACCGGGAGUCGAAGCCGCUGUGCAAGUCCAAGUCGAGGAAGCUGGGGCGGACGCUGAGCUCGCUGUGGAAGAACCGCGGCUUCUCCCUCUACCAGUGCUAG
rnacentral:rRNA from 1 species